AUUCCAGCUCCAAUAGCGUAUAUUAAAGUUGUUGCAGUUAAAAAGCUCGUAGUCGGAUUUUGGCAUCACGCCGAACUGUCUGCCGAUUGGUAAGUACGGUUUGGCGGGUGCUUCCUUCCGGAGGCUCGUUCCCUUCUUCAUUGAAGGGUUCGUUGGUUCCGGGUCUUUUACUUUGAGAAAAUUAGAGUGUUCAAAGCAGGCCUAUGCUCUGAAUAGGUUAGCAUGGAAUAAUAGAAUAGGACCUUGGUUCUAUUUUGUUGGUUUUCGGGACUCGACAUAAUGAUAAAUAGGGACAGUCGGGGGCAUUUGUAUUCAAACGACAGAGGUGAAAUUCUUGGACCGUUUGAAGACAAACUACUGCGAAAGCAUUUGCCAAGAAUGUUUUCAUCA
rnacentral:rRNA from 1 species